rnacentral:rRNA from 1 species
GGACCCGCACAAGCGGUGGAGCAUGUGGUUUAAUUCGACAAUAAGCGAGGAACCUCACCAAGGUUUGACAUAUAGCUGCAAGUCCUGGAAACAGGAACGCCUUCGAGGGUGCUAUACAGAUGCUGCAUGGUUGUCGUCAGCUCGUGUCGUGAGAUGUACCGUUAAGUCGGAAAACGAGCGCAACCCCUAUCCUAUGUUUUACAUGUCAUAGGAAACUGCCCGUUUUAAAUGGGAGGAAGGCGGGGAUGACGUCAAAUCAGCAUGGUUCUUACACCUUGGGCAACACACGUGCUACAAUGGGGCAUACAGAGGGACGCCAAACCGUAAGGUGGAGCAAAUCCUUAAAAUGCCUCUCAGUUCGGAUCGAGGUCUGCAAUUCGACCUCGUGAAGCCGGAAUCGCUAGUAAUCGUGGAUCAGCUACGCCACGGUGAAUACGUUCUCGGGUCUU